UUAUCCGGAUUUACUGGGCGUAAAGCGUGCGCAGGCGGUUCUGUAAGAUAGAUGUGAAAUCCCCGGGCUCAACCUGGGAAUUGCAUAUAUGACUGCAGAACUUGAGUUUGUCAGAGGAGGGUGGAAUUCCACGUGUAGCAGUGAAAUGCGUAGAUAUGUGGAAGAACACCGAUGGCGAAGGCAGCCCUCUGGGACAUGACUGACGCUCAUGCACGAAAGCGUGGGGAGCAAACAGGAUUAGAUACCCUGGUAGUCCACGCCCUAAACGAUGUCUACUAGUUGUUGGGGACGAUAGUCCUUGGUAACGCAGCUAACGCGUGAAGUAGACCGCCUGGGGAGUACGGUCGCAAGAUUAAAACUCAAAGGAAUUGACGGGGACCCGCACAAGCGGUGGAUGAUGUGGAUUAAUUC
rnacentral:rRNA from 1 species